rnacentral:misc_RNA from 1 species
GAUGAAGAACGUAGCGAAAUGCGAUACGUAGUGUGAAUUGCAGAAUUCAGUGAAUCAUCGAAUCUUUGAACGCACAUUGCACCUCUCGGUAUUCCGGGAGGUAUGCCUGUUCGAGCGUCAUUUGUACCCUCAAGCUCUGCUUGGUGUUGGGUGUUUGUUCCGCCUCUGUGUGUGAACUCGCCUCAAAACAAUUGGCAGCCGGCGUACUUGUUUCGGAGCGCAGCACAUUUUGCGAUCCAGAUCAACGUACAGCGGCAUCCAAGAAGCCUUAUUUAACGCUCUUGACCUCGGAUCAGGUAGGGAUACCCGCUGAACUUAAGCAUAUCAUAAGCGGAGG